AGGGUUUGAUCCUGGCUCAGAUUGAACGCUGGCGGCAUGCCUUACACAUGCAAGUCGAACGCGAAAGGGGGGGCAACCCCCCAAGUAGAGUGGCGAACGGGUGAGUAAUACAUCGGAACGUACCCAGUAGCGGGGGAUAACCUCUCGAAAGAGAGGCUAAUACCGCAUACGACCUACGGGUGAAAGAGGGGGAUCGCAAGACCUCUCACUAUUGGAGCGGCCGAUGUCGGAUUAGCUAGUUGGCGGGGUAACGGCCCACCAAGGCGACGAUCCGUAGCUGGUCUGAGAGGACGGCCAGCCACACUGGAACUGAGACACGGUCCAGACUCCUACGGGAGGCAGCAGUGGGGAAUUUUGGACAAUGGGCGCAAGCCUGAUCCAGCCAUGCCGCGUGGGUGAAGAAGGCCUUCGGGUUGUAAAGCCCUUUCGGCUGGGACGAAAAGGUCCGUGUUAACACCGCGGAUCCAUGACGGUACCAGCAGAAGAAGCACCGGCUAACUACGUGCCAGCAGCCGCGGUAAUACGUAGGGUGCAGGCGUUAAUCGGAAUUACUGGGCGUAAAGCGUGCGCAGGCGGUCUUUUAAGUCAGAUGUGAAAUCCCCGGGCUUAACCUGGGAACUGCGUUUGAAACUGGAAGGCUUGAGUGUGGCAGAGGGGGGUGGAAUUCCACGUGUAGCAGUGAAAUGCGUAGAGAUGUGGAGGAACACCGAUGGCGAAGGCAGCCCCCUGGGCUAACACUGACGCUCAUGCACGAAAGCGUGGGGAGCAAACAGGAUUAGAUACCCUGGUAGUCCACGCCCUAAAC
rnacentral:rRNA from 1 species